rnacentral:rRNA from 1 species
CCCCGUUCCCAUCCCGAACACGGUAGUUAAGCUUCUCUGCGCCAAUGGUAGUUGGGGGCUUCCCCCUGCGAGAGUAGGUCGCUGCCGGGC